AACGAACGACGCGGCGAGGCGCUAGACAUGCAAGUCGAACGGUAUCAUCCUUUCGGGGGUGAGAGAGUGGCGAACUGGUGAGUAACACGUAGGUUAUCUACCCUCAAGACGGGGACAACCCAGGGAAAACUUGGGCUAAUACCGGAUGUGAGCAACUUUAGUUGUUUGAAAGGUGGCGUAAGCUGUCGCUUGGGGAUGAGCCUGCGUCCUAUUAGUUAGUUGGUGAGGUAACGGCUCACCUAGGCAAUGAUAGGUAGGCGGCCUUAACGGGUGGUCGCCCACACUGGGAUUGAGAUACGGCCCAGACUCCUACGGGAGGCAGCAGUCGAGAAUAGUCUACAAUGGUCGGAAGACUGAUAGUGCGACGCCGCGUGAACGAUGAAUCCCUUCGGGGUGUAAAGUUCUUUUAUAUGUGAGCAGUGCUUCUUAUAUUAACAGUAUGGGGAGAGAGAUAUUAGCAUAUGAAUAAGCAACGGCUAACUCCGUG
rnacentral:rRNA from 1 species